rnacentral:lncRNA from 1 species
GUCUCGUAUCUCUCAUAUCUAUUGUCUUGGGUUAUUUUUAUUUUAUUUUUUAUUUUUUUGUGGGACUAAAAAGGCUUAUUUCAUACUUGUGUGGUUCAUAUUUGCACAGAAAAUGCCUCCUCAUGUUCAGGCCAUGUGGAAUGGAAAAGAACCAAUGGAAAUGAGCCAUUGCAUGAGUUGCCUUGCGCUCAUGCCAUCCUAUUGGACCAGUGAAAAGGCCAUCAGGAAAGUGUGGCAGAGGACAUGAAUCAUCUGCAUGUCGCCUUUAAUGUUGGAAGCAAACUGAGCGAGAGCCAAAGGCCAGCUCAUCCUCUGCUGUCUCGUGGCAAGGUCGACAUAGCGAGAGACUAACUGACCCUUCCCUCAGCGCCGCGCCGUGCCGCGCCGCUCGCCUGCCUGAGCGGCUAAUGGACGACACUGCGACACGCUCAGGACCGGCGGAACGAGCAGCGUUACGAAUGACGUACUGUAAUUGCGCU